GAUGAACGCUGACAGAAUGCUUAACACAUGCGAGUCUUUGGCGAAGCUGUGCUUGCACAGCCUAGCCAAGGCGGACGGGUGAGUAACGCGUAAGGAACUUGCCCUGCAGUCAGGGAUAACAGACGGAAACGACUGAUAAGACCUGGUAAAGUCAGGCGGACUCAUGUCCAGCCUGAUGAAAAGAGAUGCUGCAGGAGAGCCUUGCGUCCUAUUAGCUUGUUGGUGGGGUAACGGCCCACCAAGGCGAUGAUAGGUAGCCGGCCUGAGAGGGUGGACGGCCACAAGGGUACUGAGAUACGGCGCUUACUCCUACGGGAGGCAGCAGUGGGGAAUAUUGGACAAGGGGGGCAACCCUGAUCCAGCAAUUCUGUGUGGACGAUGAAGGUUUUCGGAUUGUAAAGUGCUUUCAGCAGGGAAGAAAAAAAUGACGGUACCUGCAGAAGAAGCGACGGCUAAAUACGUG
rnacentral:rRNA from 1 species